rnacentral:rRNA from 1 species
AUUGAACGCUGGCGGCAGGCCUAACACAUGCAAGUCGAACGAGUGGCGGACGGGUGAGUAAUGUCUGGGAAACUGCCUGAUGGAGGGGGACAACUACUGGAAACGGUAGCUAAUAUCGCAUACCAUCGGAUGUGCCCAGAUGGGAUUAGCUAGUAGGUGGGGUAAAGGCUCACCUAGUCGACGAUCCCUAGCUGGUCUGAGAGGAUGACCAGCCACACGGAGGCUGCGACGCGGACCAGAGUCCUACGGGAGGCAGCAGUGGGGAAUAUUGGACAAUGGGCGCAAGCCUUGUGCGGCCAUGCCGCGUGUAUGAGGAAGGCCUUCGGGUUGUAGAGUACUUUCAGCGGGGGGGCGUUACCCGCAGAAGAAGCACCGGCUAACUCCGUGCCAGCAGCCGCGGUAAUAC